rnacentral:rRNA from 1 species
AGUGGCGGACGGGUGAGUAACGCGUGGGCAACCUCGCCCCAGUACCGGGGGAUAACAGCUGGAAAACGGCUGCUAAUACCGCAUAAGCGCACGGCACCGCAUGGUGCAGUGUAGAAAAACUCCGGUGGUAUGAGAUGGACCCGCGUUGGAUUAGCUGGUUGGUGAGGUAACGGCUCACCAAGGCGACGAUCCAUAGCCGACCUGAGAGGGUGACCGGCCACAUUGGGACUGAGAUACGGCCCAGACUCCUACGGGAGGCAGCAGGUGGGGAAUUAUUGGGCAAUGGGCGAAAGCCUGACCCAGCAACGCCGCGUGAGUGAAGAAGGUCUUCGGAUCGUAAAGCUCUGUUGUCGGGGACGAAUGUUGAGGCCUAGAACAUAGGUUUCAAAUGACGGUACCUGACGAGGAAGCCACGGCUAACUACGUG